GUACGGAUGGCGCAGUGGUUAAUGCAUUUGCCUAGUAAGCACGAGACCUGGGUUCGAAUCCCAGUCCGGCACA